UACGGGAGGGGCUAGUGUUAUUCGGCAUGAUUGGGCGUAAAGCGCAUGUAGGCUGCAAUUUAAGUUUUAAGUCAAAGCCCUAAGUUUAACUUAGGUAAAUGAUUUUUUAUACUGAAUUUGCUAAGAGUUAUAUUAAGGAUUGUAGAAUUUUUGGAGAAAGCGAUAAAAUGUGGAUCGUCAGAAAGAAUACCAACGGCGAAGGCAGCAAUCUAGAUAUAUACUGACGUUGAUAAUGCGAAGGUAUGGGGAGCAAACAGG
rnacentral:rRNA from 1 species